rnacentral:rRNA from 1 species
AGCGUACACGGUGGAUGCCCUGGCAGUCAGAGGCGAUGAAGGACGUGCUAAUCUGCGAUAAGCGUCGGUAAGGUGAUAUGAACCGUUAUAACCGGCGAUUUCCGAAUGGGGAAACCCAGUGUGUUUCGACACACUAUCAUUAACUGAAUCCAUAGGUUAAUGAGGCGAACCGGGGGAACUGAAACAUCUAAGUACCCCGAGGAAAAGAAAUCAACCGAGAUUCCCCCAGUAGCGGCGAGCGAACGGGGAGCAGCCCAGAGCCUGAAUCAGUAUGUGUGUUAGUGGAAGCGUCUGGAAAGGCGCGCGAUACAGGGUGACAGCCCCGUACACAAAAAUGCACAUAUUGUGAGCUCGAUGAGUAGGGCGGGACACGUGGUAUCCUGUCUGAAUAUGGGGGGACCAUCCUCCAAGGCUAAAUACUCCUGACUGACCGAUAGUGAACCAGUACCGUGAGGGAAAGGCGAAAAGAACCCCGGCGAGGGGAGUGAAAAAGAACCUGAAACCGUGUACGUACAAGCAGUGGGAGCACGCUUAGGCGUGUGACUGCGUACCUUUUGUAUAAUGGGUCAGCGACUUAUAUUCUGUAGCAAGGUUAACCGAAUAGGGGAGCCGAAGGGAAACCGAGUCUUAACUGGGCGUUAAGUUGCAGGGUAUAGACCCGAAACCCGGUGAUCUAGCCAUGGGCAGGUUGAAGGUUGGGUAACACUAACUGGAGGACCGAACCGACUAAUGUUGAAAAAUUAGCGGAUGACUUGUGGCUGGGGGUGAAAGGCCAAUCAAACCGGGAGAUAGCUGGUUCUCCCCGAAAGCUAUUUAGGUAGCGCCUCGUGAACUCAUCUCCGGGGGUAGAGCACUGUUUCGGCAAGGGGGUCAUCCCGACUUACCAACCCGAUGCAAACUGCGAAUACCGGAGAAUGUUAUCACGGGAGACACACGGCGGGUGCUAACGUCCGUCGUGAAGAGGGAAACAACCCAGACCGCCAGCUAAGGUCCCAAAGUCAUGGUUAAGUGGGAAACGAUGUGGGAAGGCCCAGACAGCCAGGAUGUUGGCUUAGAAGCAGCCAUCAUUUAAAGAAAGCGUAAUAGCUCACUGGUCGAGUCGGCCUGCGCGGAAGAUGUAACGGGGCUAAACCAUGCACCGAAGCUGCGGCAGCGACGCUUAUGCGUUGUUGGGUAGGGGAGCGUUCUGUAAGCCUGUGAAGGUGUGCUGUGAGGCAUGCUGGAGGUAUCAGAAGUGCGAAUGCUGACAUAAGUAACGAUAAAGCGGGUGAAAAGCCCGCUCGCCGGAAGACCAAGGGUUCCUGUCCAACGUUAAUCGGGGCAGGGUGAGUCGACCCCUAAGGCGAGGCCGAAAGGCGUAGUCGAUGGGAAACAGGUUAAUAUUCCUGUACUUGGUGUUACUGCGAAGGGGGGACGGAGAAGGCUAUGUUGGCCGGGCGACGGUUGUCCCGGUUUAAGCGUGUAGGCUGGUUUUCCAGGCAAAUCCGGAAAAUCAAGGCUGAGGCGUGAUGACGAGGCACUACGGUGCUGAAGCAACAAAUGCCCUGCUUCCAGGAAAAGCCUCUAAGCAUCAGGUAACAUCAAAUCGUACCCCAAACCGACACAGGUGGUCAGGUAGAGAAUACCAAGGCGCUUGAGAGAACUCGGGUGAAGGAACUAGGCAAAAUGGUGCCGUAACUUCGGGAGAAGGCACGCUGAUAUGUAGGUGAAGUCCCUCGCGGAUGGAGCUGAAAUCAGUCGAAGAUACCAGCUGGCUGCAACUGUUUAUUAAAAACACAGCACUGUGCAAACACGAAAGUGGACGUAUACGGUGUGACGCCUGCCCGGUGCCGGAAGGUUAAUUGAUGGGGUCAGCGCAAGCGAAGCUCUUGAUCGAAGCCCCGGUAAACGGCGGCCGUAACUAUAACGGUCCUAAGGUAGCGAAAUUCCUUGUCGGGUAAGUUCCGACCUGCACGAAUGGCGUAAUGAUGGCCAGGCUGUCUCCACCCGAGACUCAGUGAAAUUGAACUCGCUGUGAAGAUGCAGUGUACCCGCGGCAAGACGGAAAGACCCCGUGAACCUUUACUAUAGCUUGACACUGAACAUUGAGCCUUGAUGUGUAGGAUAGGUGGGAGGCUUGGAAGUGUGGACGCCAGUCUGCAUGGAGCCGACCUUGAAAUACCACCCUUUAAUGUUUGAUGUUCUAACGUUGACCCGUAAUCCGGGUUGCGGACAGUGUCUGGUGGGUAGUUUGACUGGGGCGGUCUCCUCCUAAAGAGUAACGGAGGAGCACGAAGGUUGGCUAAUCCUGGUCGGACAUCAGGAGGUUAGUGCAAUGGCAUAAGCCAGCUUGACUGCGAGCGUGACGGCGCGAGCAGGUGCGAAAGCAGGUCAUAGUGAUCCGGUGGUUCUGAAUGGAAGGGCCAUCGCUCAACGGAUAAAAGGUACUCCGGGGAUAACAGGCUGAUACCGCCCAAGAGUUCAUAUCGACGGCGGUGUUUGGCACCUCGAUGUCGGCUCAUCACAUCCUGGGGCUGAAGUAGGUCCCAAGGGUAUGGCUGUUCGCCAUUUAAAGUGGUACGCGAGCUGGGUUUAGAACGUCGUGAGACAGUUCGGUCCCUAUCUGCCGUGGGCGCUGGAGAACUGAGGGGGGCUGCUCCUAGUACGAGAGGACCGGAGUGGACGCAUCACUGGUGUUCGGGUUGUCAUGCCAAUGGCACUGCCCGGUAGCUAAAUGCGGAAGAGAUAAGUGCUGAAAGCAUCUAAGCACGAAACUUGCCCCGAGAUGAGUUCUCCCUGACUCCUUGA